GCAUCUGUGGUGGAACGGCAGACACGCUGGAUUUAGGUUCCGGUGCCGAAAGGCGUGUGGGUUCAAAUCCCACCAGAUGCACCA
rnacentral:tRNA from 1 species